GAUGAACGCUGGCGGCGUGCCUAAUACAUGCAAGUCGAGCGAACGGACGAGAAGCUUGCUUCUCUGAUGUUAUCGGCGGACGGGUGAGUAACACGUGGAUAACCUACCUAUAAGACUGGGAUAACUUCGGGAAACCGGAGCUAAUACCGGAUAAUAUUUUGAACCGCAUGGUUCAAAAGUGAAAGACGGUCUUGCUGUCACUUAUAGAUGGAUCCGCGCUGCAUUAGCUAGUUGGUAAGGUAACGGCUUACCAAGGCAACGAUGCAUAGCCGACCUGAGAGGGUGACCGGCCACACUGGAACUGAGACACGGUCCAGACUCCGACGGGAGGCAGCAGUAGGGAAUCUGCCGCAAUGGGCGAAAGCCUGACGGAGCAACGCCGCGUGAGUGAUGAAGGUCUUCGGAUCGUAAAACUCUGUUAUUAGGGAAGAACAUAUGUGUAAGUAACUGUGCACAUCUUGACGGUACCUAAUCAGAAAGCCACGGCUAACUACGU
rnacentral:rRNA from 1 species